rnacentral:rRNA from 1 species
GAUGAGCGCUGGCGGCGUGCCCAAUACAUGCAAGUCGAGCGAACAGACGAGGAGCUUGCUCCUCUGACGUUAGCGGCGGACGGGUGAGUAACACGUGGAUAACCUACCUAUAAGACUGGGAUAACUUCGGGAAACCGGAGCUAAUACCGGAUAACAUGUUGAACCGCAUGGUUCAACAGUGAAAGACGGUCUUGCUGUCACUUAUAGAUGGAUCCGCGCCGCAUUAGCUAGUUGGUAAGGUAACGGCUUACCAAGGCAACGAUGCGUAGCCGACCUGAGAGGGUGAUCGGCCACACUGGAACUGAGACACGGUCCAGACUCCUACGGGAGGCAGCAGUAGGGAAUCUUCCGCAAUGGGCGAAAGCCUGACGGAGCAACGCCGCGUGAGUGAAGAAGGUCUUCGGAUCGUAAAACUCUGUUAUUAGGGAAGAACAAAUGUGUAAGUAACUAUGCACGUCUUGACGGUACCUAAUCAGAAAGCCACGGCUAACUACGUG